GAUGAACGCUGGCGGCGUGCCUAAUACAUGCAAGUCGAGCGAACAGACGAGGAGCUUGCUCCUCUGACGUUAGCGGCGGACGGGUGAGUAACACGUGGAUAACCUACCUAUAAGACUGGGAUAACUUCGGGAAACCGGAGCUAAUACCGGAUAAUAUAUUGAACCGCAUGGUUCAAUAGUGAAAGACGGUUUUGCUGUCCCUUAUAGAUGGAUCCGCGCCGCAUUAGCUAGUUGGUAAGGUAACGGCUUACCAAGGCAACGAUGCGUAGCCGACCUGAGAGGGUGAUCGGCCACACUGGAACUGAGACACGGUCCAGACUCCUACGGGAGGCAGCAGUAGGGAAUCUUCCGCAAUGGGCGAAAGCCUGACGGAGCAACGCCGCGUGAGUGAUGAAGGUCUUCGGAUCGUAAAACUCUGUUAGUAGGGAAGAACAAAUGUGUAAGUAACUAUGCACGUCUUGACGGUACCUAAUCAGAAAGCCCCGGCUAACUACGUG
rnacentral:rRNA from 1 species